rnacentral:rRNA from 1 species
AUGGUGGUGCGGGUCUUCAGGUAUGGGUCCCUGAUCUGGAACCCCGGCUUCGAUUUCAACGAGAAGAUCCUGAGAUUCAUCAAGGGCUACAAGCGAACGUUUAAUCUCGCUUGCAUUGACCAUAGAGGCACACCACAGAAUCCAUCCAGGACCUGCACCCCUGAAUGCGAAGAUGAAGAAAUAUGCGUAAGUUGA